ACUUACAGGAUGUAUAGUCCUAGUCCUGUGUUGUUGUAUAGGUGAAGUAAUGGGAUACUUACAGGAUGUAUAGUCCUAGUCCUGUGUUGUUGUAUAGGUGGAGUAAUGGGAUACUUACAGGAUGUAUAGUCCUAGUCCUGUGUUGUUGUAUAGGUGGAGUAAUGGGCUACUUACAGGAUGUAUAGUCCUAGUCCUGUGUUGUUGUAUAGGUGGAGUAAUGGGCUACUUACAGGAUGUAUAGUCCUAGUCCUGUGUUGUUGUAUAGGUGGAGUAAUGGGAUACUUACAGGAUGUAUAGUCCUAGUCCUGUGUUGUUGUAUAGGUGGAGUAAUGGGAUACUUACAGGAUGUAUAGUCCUAGUCCUGUGUUGUUGUAUAGGUGGAGUAAUGGGCUACUUACAGGAUGUAUAGUCCUAGUCCUGUGUUGUUGUAUAGGUGGAGUAAUGGGCUACUUACAGGAUGUAUAGUCCUAGUCCUGUGUUGUUGUAUAGGUGGAGUAAUGGGAUACUUACAGGAUGUAUAGUCCUAGUCCUGUGUUGUUGUAUAGGUGGAGUAAUGGGAUACUUACAGGAUGUAUAGUCCUAGUCCUGUGUUGUUGUAUAGGUGGAGUAAUGGGC